GGUGGGACCGCUGGGGAACCCAGCCUGAACAGAGGGGACAGAGGUUCCCAGCAUCAGCUAGUCUCCUCCGUGGACACAGGAACCCAAAGUGGGCUCAGGGGAUGUCCUUUGCGUUCCUUCUCCGGUACUGUCAUUUCUAGGGCAGAGGCUCCCUGACCUGUAGAAAGGAAAUCAGGCAGGGGAGCAACUGAAAACAAAGGCGGUACCAGGUUUCUGCUCGGACCCUGGAGCUCCAGGGAGAUGGGGAGAGAUGGCCGAGUGAAGGUGCUCACUCGGGGUUGAGAGGACCACAUUUUGGCCACUCCUAGCUGGCCCUGCUCGGUUUCCCUGUAGGCACAGUAAGACAGUGCCCUCCAGCUCCAGGGGACAAAAACUUCAGAUUCUGCUGUUGUCGACUUGGGCUGGGACCCGCGCUUCUUCUUUUUUUUUUUUCUUUCUUAGUCCCCACAAGUGACCCUCUAGGGGAAUCCAGAACAGGGAAGGGAGCAAGCCAGAGGAACUUUUUUUUUUUUUAGGUGAAAAGCCAGGGGGAGGGAUGGGGCGCCCCCGCUCGCGACUACGCCUGCGACUGUCCUCGCGCUGCGGGGGCUGUGCGUGGAGCCCGCGGUAAGCUGGAAUAUCCAAGCCAGCUGCAAGUGGCCUUCCGUUCCCCACACGCCUCCUGCGUGCUGGGCCCAGCUGGGCGCCGCCCAAAUCUUCUCUCUCCCGAGACUCUCCAGCUCCCCUUCUACUGACCAGGAGAACGUCUUGCUCCGGCCAGGAUCACACCAGUGGAGAAGCGACCCCCUCCCCCAUCCCGGGCCGGGGCCCUUCUGACAAGCCUCCCCAAGGACUCCCUCAUUCCCCAGGCCACCUUGAACAAAGCACACUGAGCGCAAACUUCGCGCCUCUGGGGGAACGCUGCGGCCAGGCUAAUCCCAGCCCUCUCUCCUCCCCCAGCCCUUCGCGUCCCCAGGGUCCAGGCGGUCGCAGGCGCUCCCCACUCCCGCAGGGCCACAGCUCUCGCGAGACUCCUGAGCCCUCUCCCUCCCCUGGCUGCGGCCCCCGGGCUCCGGGAAGCUCAGCCACCUGGGCCCACGCCAUAUCUGGGUUUUUUUCCCAGGACUUUGGGGAUGAGAAGAGACUUGUGCAUAGAGCGGAAGAGGAAUGGGAUCCAAGGGACCUUUCCUUCAAGUCCCGGGCCUGAAAUGAAGGAUGCGACUGCUGCCUGCAGGCAGAGAGACAACCUCAGCGCUCGGUGGCUGGGGCGCAGUGGCACGCAGGGCGGUCAAGGUUGGGUAGGUUUUCUGGCUCCUCAGGAAAAGCAGGCGAGUAGUCUGGGAGCUGUUUGCAAGGCUGAAUUAAGAACUCAGAGUGAGCAAGAGCUGGUUUACCACACCUGGCAGGACUGGGCUUCAGGAAGCACAAGGACAGGAACCCACAGGCAGCCCUGAGCCCAGCCUAGACUGCGGGAAGGCAACUGAGACCUCCAUGAGAAGGGGGCACCUGAGAGCACAUGCAACCAAGCUGUGUCCCUGCAAGGGACCACCCUCCCUAGGCCGGUGUCAGCUGAGUCCUCUCUCUCCGUCGGCCAGGUGCCCUCACUGCCCAGAGGUGGAACUCAGCAGCCCAGGCGCCGCCGCCCUGAGUAUCCUGCGGAAAAUGUGAGAACUCUGGGGAGCCAUUGCUGCUGCAAGGACCCGCGGGCGGGCUACCGCGCUGGUGGGGGGGCUCUGUCCAAACCUUGCGUCCUCGACUUCCCAUCCGCCUCAUAAAGGGUUGGUGAAGACCAUCUCAAGGACCGCACGAACUGGUCCUUCAAGUCCCAGGAAACCGAAACAACAACCGAGGCGGCUCUCUGUCCGGGCCACUUCCGGAGCGAGCUCUGCGGCGGACCUCUGGCUCCCGCUCCUUUGGGCACCCGCGGUGCGGCCAGACCGCUCCUGCCAGCGACUCUCUGGCUGGCAAGGGAGAGGAGGUGGAGUUCAGACUGGCCC
rnacentral:lncRNA from 1 species